rnacentral:rRNA from 1 species
CAUGCAAGUCGAACGAGAACUCUCCAGCUUGCUGGAGAUAGUAAAGUGGCGCACGGGUGAGUAACGCGUGAGUAAUCUGCCCCUGAAUCGGGGAUAACACACCGAAAGGUGUGCUAAUAUCGGAUAAUAUGACGAUUAUUCUGGUGAUCGUUAUCAAAGACAGCCUCUAUAUAUAAGCUGUCGUUUGGGGAUGAGCUCGCGUACCAUUAGCUUGUUGGUAGGGUAACGGCCUACCAAGGCUACGAUGGUUAGCUGGUCUGAGAGGAUGAUCAGCCACACUGGAACUGAUACACGGUCAGACUCCUACGGGAGGCAGCAGUGAGGAAUUUUGCGCAAUGGGGGAAACCCUGACGCAGCAACGCCGCGUGAGUGAUGAAGGCUUUCGGGUCGUAAAGCUCUGUCGAGUGGGAAGAAUCUGUCGAAUGUCAAUAGCAUUCGGCACUGACGGUACCACAGAAGGAAGCACCGGCUAACUCCGUGCCAGCAGCCGCGGUAAUACGGGGGGUGCAAGCGUUAUUCGGAAUUACUGGGCGUAAAGAGCGCGUAGGCGGUCCGAUCAGUCAGAUGUGAAAUCCCGGGGCUCAACCCCGGAAGUGCAUUUGAUACUGUCGGACUUGAGUAUGGGAGAGGGAAGUGGUAUUCCUGGUGUAGCGGUGAAAUGCGUAGAUAUCAGGAGGAACACCGGUGGCGAAGGCGACUUCCUGGACCAAUACUGACGCUGAGGCGCGAAGGCGUGGGGAGCGAACAGGAUUAGAUACCCUGGUAGUCCACGCAGUAAACGGUGAUCACUAGGUGUAGCGGGUAUUGACCCCUGCUGUGCCGGAGCUAACGCAUUAAGUGAUCCGCCUGGGGAGUACGGCCGCAAGGUUAAAACUCAAAGGAAUUGACGGGGGCCCGCACAAGCGGUGGAGCAUGUGGUUUAAUUCGACGCAACGCGAAGAACCUUACCUGGGUUUGACAUCUCGGGAAUCCUUAUGAAAGUAAGGAGUGCCUUUCGGGGAGCCCGAAGACAGGUGCUGCAUGGCUGUCGUCAGCUCGUGUCGUGAGAUGUUGGGUUAAGUCCCGCAACGAGCGCAACCCCUAUCUUUAGUUACCAUCAUUCAGUUGGGGACUCUAGAGAUACCGCCCCGGUUAACGGGGAGGAAGGUGGGGAUGACGUCAAGUCCUCAUGGCCCUUAUAUCCAGGGCUACACACGUGCUACAAUGGUCUGAACAAAGGGUUGCGAGCCUGCGAAGGUCAGCUAAUCCCAUAAAUCAGGUCUCAGUUCGGAUUGGAGUCUGCAACUCGACUCCAUGAAGUUGGAAUCGCUAGUAAUCGCGGAUCAGCAUGCCGCGGUAAAUACGUUCCCGGGCCUUGUACACACCGCCCGUCACACCAUGAGAGUUGGUUGUACCAGAAGUCGUUGGGCCAACCCUUCGGGGAGGUAGGCGCCUAAGGUAUGGCUGAUGAUUGGGGUGAAGUCGUAACAAGGUA